rnacentral:tRNA from 1 species
GUCCUCGCGGAGCAGUCCGGAGUGCUCACCUGCCUGUCACGCAGGAGAUCGUGGGUUCAAAUCCCAUCGGGGACGC